ACACCCUCAACUCCUCAUGGUUUUCCGUGAUGAGCUUGGACUUUGGGGGUCUUGCUGGCCUAUGGUCAGCUCCUCUAAAAUGAAUCAGCUUGUCAGCGUUUGGUGGGCAUCACAGGUGUGAUAAAUAUCUACGCUUGUGGUUUUCCACCAGGUAACCUUCAGCAGUGGAGGUUCGCUGGAGCUCACAGAUGUCUCUCCUCGGCGAGGACGGCUCUUUGAAU
rnacentral:misc_RNA from 1 species